CGGAGUGUGGCGCAGCCUGGUAGCGCACUUGCAUGGGGUGCAAGGGGUCGGAGGUUCGAAUCCUCUCACUCCGACCA
rnacentral:tRNA from 2 species